rnacentral:rRNA from 1 species
UACAGAGGGUGCAAGCAUUAAUCGGAUUUAUUGGGCGUAAAGAGCUCGUAGGCGGUUUGUUGCGUCGGCCGUGAAAACCUGCAGCUUAACUGUGGGCCUGCAUCCGAUACUCCCGGGCUGGAGGCAGGUAGGGGAGAUCGGAAUUCCUGGUGUAGCGGUGAAAUGCGCAGAUAUCAGGAGGAACACCGGUGGCGAAGGCGGGUCUCUGGGCCGAUACUGACGCUGAGGAGCGAAAGCGUGGGGAGCGAACAGG